rnacentral:tRNA from 1 species
GGCUCAGUGGUCUAGUGGUAUAAUUCUCGCUUUGGGUGCGAGAGGCCACGGGUUCGAUUCCCGUCUAAGUCC